GGAGAGGUGCCAGAGCGGUUGAUCGGGCGCGCCUCGAAAGCGCGUGACCUCGUAAGGGGUCCGGGGGUUCGAAUCCCCCCCUCUCCGCCA
rnacentral:tRNA from 1 species